rnacentral:rRNA from 1 species
AAGUACUUUCAACAAGAAAGAACUAAUAAAAUUUAAUAAAUUUUAUUAUUGACGUUACUUGUAAAAGAAGCACCGGCUAACUCCGUGCCAGCAGCCGCGGUAAUACGGAGGGUGCGAGCGUUAAUCGGAAUUACUGGGCGUAAAGAGCACGUAGGCGGUAUAUUAAGUCAGAUGUGAAAUCCCUGAGCUCAACUUAGGAAUUGCAUUUGAAACUGAUAUACUUGAGUUUCAUAGAGGGGGGUAGAAUUCCAGGUGUAGCGGUGAAAUGCGUAGAUAUCUGGAGGAAUACCAGUGGCGAAGGCGACCCCCUGGACGAAUACUGACGCUCAGGUGCGAAAGCAUGGGUAGCAAACAGGAUUAGAUACCCUGGUAGUCCAUGCUGUAAACGAUGUCGACUUGGAGGUUGUAAGCUUGACUUGUAACUUUCGUAGCUAACGCGUUAAGUCGACCGCCUGGGGAGUACGACCGCAAGGUUAAAACUCAAAUGAAUUGACGGGGGCCCGCACAAGCGGUGGAGCAUGUGGUUUAAUUCGAUGCAACGCGAAAAACCUUACCUGGUCUUGACAUCCAUGGAAUUUAGUAGAGAUACUUUAGUGCUUCGGGAACCAUGAGACAGGUGCUGCAUGGCUGUCGUCAGCUCGUGUUGUGAAAUGUUGGGUUAAGUCCCGCAACGAGCGCAACCCUUGUCCUUUGUUGCCAACGGUUCGGCCGGGAACUCAAAGGAAACUGCCGGUGAUAAACCGGAGGAAGGUGGGGACGACGUCAAGUSGKCAUGGCCCUUACGACCAGGGCUACACACGUGCUACAAUGGUAUAUACAAAGGGAAGCAUCCUCGCGAGAGUAAGCGGAUCUCACAAAAUAUAUCGUAGUUCGGAUUGGAGUCUGCAACUCGACUCCAUGAAGUCGGAAUCGCUAGUAAUCGUAGAUCAGAACGCUACGGUGAAUACGUUCCCGGGCCUUGUACACACCGCCCGUCACACCAUGGAAGUGAGUUGUAAAAGAAGUAAGUUG